rnacentral:rRNA from 1 species
CUUGAACGCUGGCGGCAUGCCUAACACAUGCAGGUCGAACGAGUGGCGGACGGGUGAGUCAUGUAUGGGAAACUGCCUGAUGGAUGGGGAUAACUACUGGACACGGUAGCUAAUACCGCAUACCAUCAGCUUUGCCCAGAUGGGAUUAGCUUGGUGGUGGGGUAACUGCUCACCAAGGCGACGAUCCCUAGCUGGUCUGAGAGGAUGACCAGCCACAAUGGAACUGAGACACGGUCCAGACUCCUACGGGAGGCAGAAGUGGGGAAUAUUGCACAAUGGGCGCAAGCCUGAUGCAGCCAUGCCGCGUGUAUGAAGAAGGACGUCGGGUUGUAAAGUACUUUCAGCGGGGAGGCGUUACCCGCAGAAGAAGCACCGGCUAACUCCGUGCCAGCAGCCGCGGUAAUUC